UACGUAGGGAGCAAGCGUUGUCCGGAUUCACUGGGUGUAAAGGGUGCGCAGGCGGAUUGGCAAGUCAGAGGUGAAAUCUCACGGCUCAACCGUGAAACUGCCUUUGAUACUGCUGAUCUUGAGUUAGGGAGAGGUUGAUGGAAUUCUAGGUGUAGCGGUGAAAUGCGUAGAUAUCUAGAAGAACACCAGUGGCGAAGGCGGUCAACUGGCCCUAAACUGACGCUCAGGCACGAAAGCGUGGGGAUCAAACAGG
rnacentral:rRNA from 1 species